rnacentral:ncRNA from 1 species
AACUUGCCCCUUCACUCGAUAUGGGAAAACUUCUUCAGCCUGGUCACAGGAACAACUGACAGAUUAAUAUCUUUAUCUUACUUGUGUGGGUUUGGUACAUGGUUCUUCUUAGCAGGUGGAAAGACCUGUCUGAUAAAACCCAAAGUUCUAGGUUACUAGAUGUUGCAGUCCUUUGAGUUAGACAGUCUUCUUAAAGGGACAAAUGACGGUUUAGCAACAUCAGACAGAACAAUAAAUGGUAAGCGAUGCCCUUAAAUGUCUGGGGCUGCAUCUGAAUUAAACAGUAGGAAUUAGUGAGUGCUUUCAUUGUUAGGCAGGAGUAGAUAAUCAUUGAAUUUCCUUCAUGAUGGAGAAAGAAGCCUGUAAAAUUUCCCCCUUGAAUGAG